UAAGGCCUAUGAUGAUUAAAAUUUUGCCUACAUUGUUUGAUUUACCAAUGAUAACAACAACUUUUCCAAAAUUUAUUCUGAGGCCUUG
rfam:Arabis alpina cultivar Pajares Aa.chr3_contig_4413, whole genome shotgun sequence.